UUUUCGUAGGUGAACCUGCGGAAGGAUCAUUCAUAAUAAAGUGUUUUAUGGCACUUUUUAAAAAUCCAUAUCCACCUUGUGUGCAAUGUUAGAUCUCGUCAAUCUUGGCGAGAUUUUUAUACAUCAACUCAUUCUUUAACUAAUUUGUCUGAAAAAUAUUAUGAAUACUUAAUUCAAAAUACAACUUUCAACAACGGAUCUCUUGGCUCUC
rnacentral:misc_RNA from 1 species